ACACACAGACACAAUUCAUCUUCUUGCCAGGAUUGACAGGUGCUGUUUUGAUAAGCACGGGAACCAUCAGUUCAACGUAUCAGUCUUUAGACCAAGUAGAGUUUAGAUGAGCAGAAUCUUUUAAUUUGUUGAGAAUUGUGAGAAUGACAGUUGCACACAGUUCCUUUUUUUUUUUUUUUUUUCAUUCUUUCCCUCUUCAUUUGUACCAUUUCUGUAUCUAAAACUAUGGAAGAGUUAGAUGUGUCUCUAGUACGGGGCUUUGGCUGUAGAAACUACACAGGGCAUUUGGUCCCACUUUGAGCAGUUGUCCUUUUAGACUCACAUGAAUUAAGGAAAUCCAAAAAUACAAAACAAGCUCCAGCUGAAUUUAAAUUCCAGGUUUGUGAGUCUAGGAAUUUCAGAGACCUAAGAGGAUACCUAAAGAUUCAGAUGUAUUCUAUGGACAUCAGCUGUAAAAAAGUGCCUUCUUUUUAAUACUUAACAAUUUUUUAAUUCUUCAUUUAAUAUUUGGCUACAGUCGCCACCGAAAUAAUGUUACAUAUUUGGAGACUCCAUUGAGCUCUGGAAUAUUUGCUAGGUUAUUUUCUUUUUUGUUUACUUCAUAAAACCAUUCCUUCGUCUGUUCAGAAGUUUCUUUUGGAACUGCAGGUGUGUGUUGAAAGCCAGAUGUAAAUUAAAUUACAACAUAUGCAGAAGGGAUCCCUUACAGAUGGAAAAUGCAUAUUUUCAGCUGACCUACUCCUCAGGUAACAAUGGGUGGGAGUAAAAUAUUUAUUGUAGACUAUGUAAUUACCAUUUUAUUAUUAUUUAUUAUUAUUUUUUUAAAGCUUCAAAAUUGUAAUCAAACAGCAUUCAUGGGAUUGAGUUGCAGAAAAAGAGGAAUUGGAGGGAAAUUUUCAAUCAGAAGCAAGUUCAUUGAGAAAUAGGUUUAGGAACUUUCACCCAAGACGGCAGGUGUCAGUCAAGAAUAUAAUUCAGGGAAUCAAACUAUAAUCUGGAAAAUGGAGAGUCCACAUAAAAUUUUAUUCUACAAUCUGAGAAGAUUUAUUUUAUUUUAAUGACCAUCACUGGAUAGCUGUUUGGCCAGUUGUGCUGAGGAUAUUGCAUAGAGUUUCCUGUGCUCCACAGAGGUCACUGGGAGGAUGUGACUGCUGGUUGACCCAUGAGCUGGAACCAGGCACUUGGAGGCUCCUCACCCCCACCUCUGUUCUUGGAAUGAAUAUCCUGCCCACAUUACUCACAGCCAAAGUCUUUUUCAAGAAUGUGGCCUGGAGAGAGCAAUGCAUUGUUGAGAACCUCUGAAUAGUAGAUAUGGCUGAAGCUCAUGAAGGCCUCUAUAUAAACUUUUAAGAUUCUGGUGGGUCAUGCAGAGAUCUGUUCAUCUCGUGGCUGCCCAAGACAAGCCUCAGAAUACCUUGACUUCUGAGACUCUGGUUGGAAGCUUUACGUUAUUGCCUUCUGCUCAGGGAUCUACCUUCACUGAAAAUCGGUAAAUGCCGCCAGGAAAAAGCAGUAAAGAAUGUCAGGAUGUUGACCUUCUCCUAGGGAUCUGGGAGUAAUACAACUAAACUUGUUAUAGCUGGAAAUAAUAGCACCUCCCUCCUGAGUAUUUCGUUAUUUCUCUGAAUUAACACGUACCUUUUUUUUUUUUUUUAAACUGCGUUCUUUUGUUAGUCUAUGAACUUCUGGAAAACGGGUGACUCCCUUUCACUUUAAAUGGCUUGAUUGAGACAAAAUUCACUGUCUGUAAAAGUACCCAUUGUAAGUGUACAGUGAUUUUUACUAAAUUUGUAAACCUGAUAACCACACCACAAUCAAGUUUUAGCAUAGUUCUAUCACCCCCAAAAGUCCCCUCAUGACUAUUUACAGUUAAUACUUGCUGCCAUCCUGGCCCUGGGCAGCCAUUGAUGUGCCUACUAUCCCUACAGAUUUACCUUUUGUAGAUUUUUAACGUAAAGGGAAUCAUGCUAUGUGUGGCCUUCUGCGCCUGGCUUCUGUGCCUUAGUAUAUAAUGUUUUUUGAAGUUCAUUUAUGUAGUAACAGAUAGUUGUUUUUAUCUUUUUUUUCUGAGUAAUAUUCCAUUGCAUAAAUAUGCAACAUUUUGUUUAUCGACUCACCUGUUCAUUAGGAUUGCUUUUAGUUUUUGGCUAUUAUGAAUAAUGCUUCUGUUGACAUUCAUAUAUAUGUCUUUGUGUGAACAUGUUUUCCAUUCAUGUUGGGUAAAUUUCUAGCAAGGAAUUGCUGAGUUAUAUGAAAGGUGAUGGUUAGCUUAAAAAAAAAAUCACCAAAUUGUUUCACAAAGUAGUGGCACAGUUUUACAUUUCAUCACCAAUGUAUGAAGGUUUUCCACAUUUUCAGUGACAUUUUUAGUUUCACAUGUACAGCAAUGUGAUUCAGUUUUAUAUACAUAUAUGUAUAUUUAUAUACAUAUGUAUUCUUUUCAGAUUCUUUUCCCUUAGACGUUAUUACAAAAUAAUGAGUAUAGUUCCCUGUGAUGUACCCAAAUCCUGUUGGUUAUCUAUUUUAUAUGUCGCAGUGUGUAUAUGUUAAUCCAAAACUCCUAAUUUUUACCUCCCUCCCCCUUUCCCCUUUGUAACCAUAAGUAUGUUUUCUAUGUUUGUGGCUCUAUUUCUGUUUUGUAUAUAAGGUCAUUUGUGUGUGUGUCUCUCUCUCUUUUUUUAGAUUCUACAUAUAAGUGAUAUCAUGUGAUAUUUGUUUUUGUCUGGCUUACUUCACUUAGUAUGAUAAUCUCUGGGUCCAUCAUGUUGUCGCAAAUGGCAUUAUUUCAUUCUUUUUUUAUGGCUGAGUAAUUCCGUAAUGUAUAUAUGCCAUGUUUUCUUGAUCCAUUUAUCUGUUGGUGAACAUUUAGUUGCUCCAUGUCCUGGCUAUUAUCAAUGGUGCUGCCAUGAACACUGGGGUGCUUGUAUCUUUUCAAAUUAUGGUUUUCUGUGCCAGAAUGAUCCUGGCACAGAAGCAGAAAUAUAGGUCAACAGAACAGGAUAGAAAGCCCAGAAAUAAACCCAUGUACCUAUGGCCGAUUAAUCUACGAGAAAGAAGGCAAGAGUAUACAAUGGAGAAAAGACAGUCUUUUCACUAAAUGGUGCUGGGAAAAAUGGACAGCUACAUGUAAAAGAAUGAAAUUAGAACAUUUUCUAACACCAUACAUAAAAAUAAACUUGAAAUGGAUUGAAGACCUAAAUGUAAAACAGGAUACUAUAAAACUCCAUGAGGAAAACAUAGGCAGAACACUGACAUAAAUCACUGCAAUAUUUUUUUGGAUCUGUCUCAGAGAGUACUGGAAAUAAAAAUAAACAGAUGGAACCCUUUUCUUAAUGGUGUCCUUCAAAGUGCAGCUUUUUAAUAUUAAUAAAGCCCAAUAUAUUGGUUUAUUUUCAUUAUGGAUGGUGCUUUUUGCACUAUAUCUGAAAGUCUUUGCCUUAUUCAGUGUAAUAAACAUUUUGUCUUAUACUUUCUUCUAGUUUUAUAGGCUUAGUUCAUACAUUUAUGUUUAUGAUUCAUUUUUAGUUAAUUUUUAUAUGUUUGUGAGGUCAGGGUCUACAUUUAAUUUAUUUCUUUGUAUGUGCAUACCCAAUGAUCUCAGCACCAUUUUUUGAGAAAACCAGCCUUUCCACAUUAGAUUGUGUUGGCAUCUUUGUUAAAAUGUAAGAGUUUAUUUCUGGAAUCUUUUUUUGCCUUGAUCUAUAUGUCUAUCCUUAUGUUAGUACCACAGUCUUGAUUACUAUGGCUGUAGAGUAUGUUGUGAAAUUAGCUAGGGUAAAUCAUCUAAAUUUGUUCAUUUUCAAAAUUGUUUUGGCUAUUCUAUAUCCUUUACUUUUCCAUAAAGAUUUUGGGAUCAACUUCUAAAUUUCUGUAAAAAAAAUCCUACUGGGAUUUUGAUGAGGAUUGAAUUGAAGUUAUACACUGAUUUGGCAAUAUUGAGUCUUCUAUAUGAACGUGAGAAAUCUUUCCAUUUAUUUAGAUUUUCUUUACUUUCUUUUAGCAAUUAUAGUUUUUUUGGGUGGGGAGGGAGGCUUUAUUGUAAUUUUCAGUGUGUAAGUUUUAUAGUUCUUUUGUUAAAGUAAUUCUUAAAUUUUUUUUAUGUCAUUGUGAAUAGAACUGUUUUCAUUUCAUCUUUAGACUGCUGAUUGCCUAUAGAAAUAAAAUUAAUUUUUAUGUGUUGAGUUUGAACCCUGUGACUU
rnacentral:lncRNA from 1 species